rnacentral:rRNA from 1 species
UUAUCUCUGUAGAGUCUGCAUAUCAAUAAGCGGAGGAAAAGGAACUAACAAGGAUUCCCUUAGUAACGGCGAGUGAAGCGGGAAGAGCUCAAAUUUGAGAUCUUCAAGGUUUUACCUUGACGAAUUGUAGUUUAAAGAAGUGUUUUCUGUUGGAGUUUUGGUAAAAGUUCUUUGGAAUAGGACAUCAUAGAGGGUGAGAAUCCCGUAUUUGACCAUUAUUUCCAGCUUUGUGAUACACUUUCAAAGAGUCGGAUUGUUUGGGAAUGCAGUCCAAAAUGGGUGGUAAAUUUCAUCUAAAGCUAAAUAUUGGCGAGAGACCGAUAGCGAACAAGUACCGUGAGGGAAAGAUGAAAAGAACUUUGAAAAGAGAGUUAAACAGUACGUGAAAUUGUCAAAAGGGAAGCGUUUGACACCAGUGUUGUUUUCUCGAAAAUCAAUUCAUGAUGGCUUGAUGCUAGGUUGUUAUGACUUUAUCAGCAUACUGUCUAGUUUUCUUGUCUUUGUGAAUGCACUUUUCGUUUAACAAGUCAACAUCAAUUUCUUUUGUUGUAAAAGAGUCAGUAGGAAGGUGGCUUUCACUUCGGUUAAAGUGUUUAUAGCCUUUUACCUCUGCAAUCGGAGAGAUUGAGGUCUGCAGCGUAGACUCUUCGGGGUUAGAUACACUUGUGCUAAGCUAUAGCCUUUUAUAGACAACUUGUUGACUAUGCUUCAGUCAUGUAGCUUACUCGCUUAUGCUAUUUUACCUACGCUUAGGAUGUUGAGUAGCGACAUACGCAC